rnacentral:rRNA from 1 species
UACAGGGGGUGCAAACGUUGCUCGGAAUUAUUGGGCGUAAAGCGCGCGUAGGCGGCUACUUAAGUCGGAUGUGAAAGCCCUUGGCUCAACUGAGGAAGUGCACCCGAAACUGAGUAGCUGGAGUACGAAAGAGGGUCGCGGAAUUCCCGGUGUAGAGGUGAAAUGCGUAGAUAUCUGGAGGAACACCGGUGGCGAAGGCGGCAUCCUGGACCGGUAUUGACGCUGAGGCGCGAAAGCCAGGGGAGCAAACGGG